rnacentral:misc_RNA from 1 species
GAUGAAGAACGUAGCGAAAUGCGAUAAGUAAUGUGAAUUGCAGAAUUCAGUGAAUCAUCGAAUCUUUGAACGCACAUUGCGCCCGCCAGUAUUCUGGCGGGCAUGCCUGUUCGAGCGUCAUUACAACCCUCAGGCCCCCGGGUCUGGCGUUGGGGAUCGGCGGAAGCCCCCUGCGGGCACAACGCCGUCCCCCAAAUACAGUGGCGGUCCCGCCGCAGCUUCCAUUGCGUAGUAGCUAACACCUCGCAACUGGAGAGCGGCGCGGCCACGCCGUAAAACACCCAACUUCUGAAUGUUGACCUCGAAUCAGGUAGGAAUACCCGCUGAACUUAAGCAUAUCAAUAAGCGGAGGA